GGGGUUGUAGUUAAAAAUAACAUUUAGUUUGCAACUAAAAAGUGCUUCUUAAUUAAGCCAUCCUCA
rnacentral:tRNA from 1 species